rnacentral:rRNA from 1 species
UACAGAGGUGGCUAGCGUUGUUCGGAAUUACUGGGCGUAAAGGGCGCGUAGGCGGCCAUGUAAGUCAGACGUGAAAUCCCCCGGCUUAACCUGGGAACUGCGUCUGAUACUGGAAGGCUUGAGUAUGGGAGAGGGAUGUAGAAUUCCAGGUGUAGCGGUGAAAUGCGUAGAUAUCUGGAGGAAUACCGGUGGCGAAGGCGGCAUCCUGGACCAUUACUGACGCUGAGGCGCGAAAGCUAGGGGAGCAAACGGG